AGGCCAUGGUGCAGCCAAGGAUGACUUGCCGAUCGAUUGAUCCAUGGCGAUGAAGAAGCUUGGCGCCGUCGAUCCAUGGAUGGAUGGAUCGAUCGGCGAGUUGUCCUUGGCUACGUCUUGGCCCCU
rnacentral:pre_miRNA from 1 species